rnacentral:pre_miRNA from 1 species
GAGGCUGAUGAGGUAGUUUAUAAAGCUGCGAGAGUAGAUCAAACUCGCAGAUUUUAAGCUAUCUCCACUGCCUU